UACGAAGGGGGGCUAGCGUUGUUCGGAUUUACUGGGCGUAAAGCGCACGUAGGCGGAUCGAUCAGUCAGGGGUGAAAUCCCCAGAGCUCAACUCUGGAACUGCCUUUGAUACUGUCGAUCUGGAGUAUGGAAGAGGUGAGUGGAAUUCCGAGUGUAGAGGUGAAAUUCGUAGAUAUUCGGAGGAACACCAGUGGCGAAGGCGGCUCACUGGUCCAUUACUGACGCUGAGGUGCGAAAGCGUGGGGAGCAAACAGG
rnacentral:rRNA from 1 species